rnacentral:rRNA from 1 species
AUUGAACGCUGGCGGCAUGCCUUACACAUGCAAGUCGAACGGCAGCACGGGGGGCAACCCCUGGUGGCGAGUGGCGAACGGGUGAGUAAUGUAUCGGAACGUACCCUGUAGCGGGGGAUAACGCGUCGAAAGAUGUGCUAAUACCGCAUACGCUCUACGGAGGAAAGCGGAGGACCGAAAGGCUUCGCACUACAGGAGCGGCCGAUACCGGAUUAGCUAGUUGGCGGGGUAACGGCCCACCAAGGCGACGAUCCGUAGCUGGUCUGAGAGGACGAUCAGCCACACUGGAACUGACACACGGUCCAGACACCUACGGGAGGCAG